rnacentral:rRNA from 1 species
UACAGAGGUCUCAAGCGUUGUUCGGAUUCAUUGGGCGUAAAGGGUGCGUAGGCGGCGUGGUAAGUCGGAUGUGAAAUCUCGGAGCUUAACUCCGAAACUGCAUUCGAUACUGCCGUGCUUGAGGACUGGAGAGGAGACUGGAAUUUACGGUGUAGCGGUGAAAUGCGUAGAUAUCAGGAGGAACACCUGUGGCGAAAGCGGCUCACUGGACCAUAACUGACGCUGAUGCACGAAAGCUAGGGGAGCAAACAGG